AUUGAACGCUGGCGGCAGGCCUAACACAUGCAAGUCGAGCGAGCGGCGGACGGGUGAGUAAUGUCUGGGAAACUGCCUGAUGGAGGGGGAUAACUACUGGAAACGGUUGCUAAUACCGCAUACCAUCAGAUGUGCCCAGAUGGGAUGAGCUAGUAGGUGGGGUAAUGGCUCACCUAGGCGACGAUCCCUAGCUGGUCUGAGAGGAUGACCAGCCAAACGGGAAAUGAGACACGGUCCAGGCUUCGAGGGUAGGCAGCAGUGGGGAAUAUUGCACAAUGGGCGCAAGCCUGCUGCAGCUAUGCCGCGUGUGUGAAGAAGGCCUUCGGGUUGUAAAGCACUUUCAGCGGGGAGGCGUUACCCGCAGAAGAAGCACCGGCUAACUCCGUGCCAGCAGCCGCGGUAAUAC
rnacentral:rRNA from 1 species